CCUACGGGUGGCUGCAGUGAGGAAUAUUGGUCAAUGGACGGAAGUCUGAACCAGCCAUGCCGCGUGAAGGAUGAAGGCGUUCUGCGUUGUAAACUUCUUUUAUUUAGGAAGAAACCACCGAUUUCUAUUGGUGUUGACGGUAUUAAAUGAAUAAGCACCGGCUAACUCCGUGCCAGCAGCCGCGGUAAUACGGAGGGUGCGAGCGUUAUCCGGAUUUACUGGGUUUAAAGGGUGCGCAGGCGGUCUUAUAAGUCCGGGGUGAAAUACUACAGCUC
rnacentral:rRNA from 1 species